GACGAACGCUGGCGGCGCGCUUAACACAUGCAAGUCGAACGGAAAGGCCUGCUUUCCCUUGUGGAUUGCGGGUACUCGAGUGGCGAACGGGUGAGUAACACGUGAGUGAUCUGCCCCCAACUUGGGUAUAAGCCUGGGAAACUGGGUCUAAUUCCCGAUAGGACUGCAGGGUGGUGCCUGUGGUGGAAAACGAUUUUCUAGUGGUUGGGGAUGAGCUCGCGGCCUAUCAGCUUGUUGGUGGGGUAAUGGCCUACCAAGGCGGCGACGGGUAGCCGGCCUGAGAGGGUGGACGGCCACAUUGGGACUGAGAUACGGCCCAGAAUCCUACGGGAGGCAGCAGUGGGGAAUAUUGCACAGUGGGCGGAAGCCUGAUGCAGCGACGCCGCGUGGGGGAUGACGGCCUUCGGGUUGUAAACUCCUUUCGACCGCGAGGAAGCCACCUGGUUGGAAGGGUGGUGACGGUAGUGGUAGAAGAAGCACCGGCUAACUACGUG
rnacentral:rRNA from 1 species